GCCCGGGUGGUGAAAUCGGUAGACACAAGGGAUUUAAAAUCCCUCGCUCAAUAGGCGUGCCAGUUCAAGUCUGGCUCCGGGCACCA
rnacentral:tRNA from 1 species